ACGUUUUGAGCGUAAAAAUUGUGUAUAAAUGCCUUCGCAUCUGCUCUCAUUUUCAGUAUCAUUUUAAAUUCAGUGAUAUACGAUUUCAACUGUAACAAUGAAGCAAUUUCUAAUUUUGGUACUAUUUUCAUUUUUGGCCGUAAAUGAUGUAUGCAUCAAAGGAGCCAUGGCGAGUACCUAUCAGGAUAUAGUUACUAAAUAUCAACCAGCUAAUUAUAGGCUAGCAGAUGCGUUCUCGUUGACUUCUGAUUUUAGCAAUACAGCCAAAGUUAUUAUAUCUCAUUUGUAUGAUAUAAGUAAGAAUGAUGAGAUAAACGCACUCUGCAAUAAGUUAAUAUUGAUUCCAGACAGUUCAAAUGCCCUUCCAAGUGACAUUCAAACCAUUUUCAAUAACUGGAACGAAAUAUUACCGGCAACCAAAAAUUAUAUUCAAGUAAAAUCAACAUCAAUUACGUACAUUAGUUCAUAAAACAUUAAAAAAUACAUUUGACGACUGUCUUAAAGUGGUGAAUGGAUUCAUUCCGAUGUACGCAGAAGAGGAAGAUUUUAUUGUAGAAAAACUUAAAGAAGCCGAGAAGACUGUGACCAAGUAUGUGGAACGCAGAAACGUAUGGGCAAGGGCUUUGAUGGGCAAUACAUCUGAUCUCUAAAUACAAAGAUUGUAAUCUUUGAAAAUAAUAAAAUGUAAUUGUUUGAAAGAUUGAGUGUAAUCUUACUACUUUGAUACAUUUAAUGAAUAAAAAGAGUGAAAUAAUAAA